rnacentral:lncRNA from 1 species
CUGAUUCGAACUAAACCAAAGGUGGUUUGGUUACGAGGGAGUUCAGGGGGUGGCGCGGUGUGAGUUUGGGCUUGAUUCAUGUAGGUUUGGUUUUGGCUCGAAUCUUCGAUUGAAGAUUUGAGAAGAUGCAGCUUGAUUCGAGGCAAGGGGGUAAGGGAUUUGGGUUCAUGGUGUGAAGGGGUUUUGAUGGUGUUAAAAUGGUGGCUGGCGGCGCUGAUGCCACCGGGUUUCACGCAAAACAUCACAGUUACACAAGAAUCCACCCCCAACCAAAGAUGUUG